UACCUAAGAUCUGUGGUCGUCUAUUUAUCUCCCUUAUUUAUCAAAUUAAUUUUACACAAAACUUUAUUUUACAUUUUAAAAGAAACCACAACAACCCAAACAAUCACCAAAAACUAGAAUCCCAAAAAAGACGAAUCAUUAAUGAUCACCUCUUUUUUUUGUCUAAUCUUACAAAUAAACUUCAAAACAAAUUUACCAAAUCAACCACCUCAACUAAAACUCAACGACACAUACAUCAAGUCAGCCAAAUACAAACUACACGGCCAACUAUUUAACAAGUUACAAACUUACUUUUGCAGAUGCUUACGAAGAAGACGAAGACGACAACCAAGAUCAGUGAAAUUACCUAAACAAAAAAGAAGACUAAGUUACAAACUCUGAUAAAUACAAAUAACAAUGAUUUUUGUUUACAUAUUACCCAUCAAAUAAAAGAGAAACAAACAUAGCCACAUUUGGAGAUACAAGAGACAAUCCCGACAGACACAAAGGCGGCAACAACAUCCCCAC
rnacentral:lncRNA from 1 species